rnacentral:rRNA from 1 species
CCGGGCCUCGCUCGGCGGGAAAUGUAGCGUUUAGGAGGGCCCGUUAACACGACAGCACGAUCUUCGUUCAAGUCCAACUUGAAUGGGGUCACACAGAGGGUGAUAUGCCCGUAGAGCAGGAGCGUCUGUCGUGUGGGCCUCUCCUUAGAGUCGGUUUGCUUGAGAGUGCAGACCUAAGUGGGUGGUAAACUCCAUCUAAGGCUAAAUAUAACCACGAGACCGAUAGCACACAAGUACCGUGAGGGAAAGGUGAAAAGAACUUUGAAGAGAGAGUUCAAGAGUACGUGAAACUGAAAUGGUGUAAACGGACGAGACUGGAAAGUCCGACCGGUGAGAUUCAAGCCCUCUGCGCUGGUGGCUCGCGGGUUAGAGAUGGUGUCGUCAGCUCGUGCCCUCGGGUGCGGGUCAUACUUCGCUACUCUGCCUGCGGGUAUCUUUCCGGCGCGGGGGGCUGCACUUCUCGCCUAGUAGGACGUCGCGACCCGUUGGGUGCCGUUCCAUGGCCCGUGGUGGAGGCCGUGCCGGAGCGUCGUUUCGGCGGCGUUGCUGUUGCACGGACCCGCGGUGACCUGAACGGCUGCCCGACGGUAGCAAAGCAUUGGGAAGGGACCGCACAGAAGGCUGCGUCCGACGCUCGCUCUCAGAGCUACGCUCGGACAGGUCCGUACCCGGUCAGCGGCGCUUCUGCUUCCGGUACUCGUCCGACCCGUCUUGAAACACGGACCAAGGAGUCUAACAUGUACGCGAGUCAUUGGGCUCUGCGAAACCUAAAGGCGAAAUGAAAGUAAAGGCUAGGCACUUGUGCCAAGCUGAGGGGUGAUGGCCGUCCCUUCUGUGGACGGCCCGCAACCCCGGGGCGUCGCGUUCUCUUUGAGAAGUGGCGCACCCAGAGCGUACACGUUGGGACCCGAAAGAUGGUGAACUAUGCCUGGCCAGGACGAAGUCAGGGGAAACCCUGAUGGAGGUCCGUAGCGAUUCUGACGUGCAAAUCGAUCGUCGGAGCUGGGUAUAGGGGCGAAAGACUAAUCGAACCAUCUAGUAGCUGGUUCCCUCCGAAGUUUCCCUCAGGAUAGCUGGCGCUCGGAGGAAAGAGUUUCAUCCGGUAAAGCGAAUGAUUAGAGGCCUUGGGGCCGAAACGACCUCAACCUAUUCUCAAACUUUAAAUGGGUGAGAACUCCGGCUUGCUUCGGUGAAGCCGCGAGUGUUCU